rnacentral:lncRNA from 1 species
UGGUCAUGCUCUCCGGCCACGUCCCCGCCCGUCACCCGGGAGUUUCCCCUAGGAAAGCCCCCAUCAUCAUCCGGGAGCUUCCUGGCCACGCCCCCACCAUCACCCGGGAACCUCCUGGCCACGCCCCCACCAUCACCCAGGAGCUUCCUUAGCCACGCCCCAUUUAGUACCGAGUAGGUUCCUCGGCCACGCCCCGACUCGUCACCCAGGAGCUUCCCUAGCCCCGCCACAUCAUCACCCAGGAACUUCGUGGCCGCCCCCUCCACCUGUCACCCAGAAGCAUACCCUUGCCAUGGCCUCACUCGUCACACAGGAGCCUUAUCUUAUGCCCCACUUAGGAGCUUCUCUAGCCACGCCCGCACCAUCACCCUGGAGCGUCCCUAACCCCGCCCCCACCAUCGCCCAGGGGCGUCCUGGCCACGCCCCCAGUCGUCUCCCGGGAUCUUCCCCAGUCCCGCCCACAUUCCAUCAGCCACAAAUUAUUCCUCUCCAUCCGGCCUCCUGGGAACACAAAAAAGGAAGGCCCGAAUUUGCCGGAGCAGGAGAGCUGGGGUGGAUGGGGGUCUCCUGAAUAAAGCGAGUACCUUUCUCAGAAUCCUGACAUGGGAGGAGGGAAUAAUACCUGGCUCACAGGAAGGGCUCAUGGAUGGAAAUAUACUUUGUGGCUAUCCCCAGCUUGCUUGCUCCCUUUCAUAUGUCACAUUCUCUCUCUCACACACACACCCGGCAGUCGCCACCCUGGAACAAACAGCCUCAGAAGGACGGAGAAACGCAGACCCGCCACGGACCUGCUUUGCCACUUGAGUCCCAGUUGUUAGAUCCCCAAACCCGGGGGAGAAGAAACGGCCGAGGGCAAUGUCGGUUCCUCUCUGCCCAGCGCCUCCCCGGGGUUCUCUAAUUCCUUCUCUCCAUUGCCCACCUGCUGUGUGGCUGGUGCUAUGCCAGGGACGCCGCAGGGACCAAAAUGUCCCUGAGCCCUGCUCUCCGGGGCUCUCAGCGCAGUGCGGGGCACAUGCCGAU